GUCACAAAGGUGGAUUGCGUCGCGAGCUGCAUUUUAUUGCUUCGUGCUCGGAGUACAGUGGAUGCAGAAGUGUACCAAACCAGACGCAGCAAUAACUGUUCACUGCAUGACCACUAGUAGAAGACUGGCGUGGAAUGUGUAAUUUCAUUAUUAUGCUAAUCGCACCGUCCUUGGAGUAUGUCGUCCACUACAAGCGAAGGAAAUUAAGCGCUGGUAUGCAUACUACGAACUUGAUGUAUAACCUUUCUUCGAAACAUCCAAAUGAAUAUCAGAUCGUAUUGAAACAAAACUAUAUUGCAGAAGAUCAGUCAUCAGAUGCUAGUUCAAGUUCCACUGCUAAACCACCUGUCAGUACCCCCGAUAAGCUAAACAAAAAAAGCAAAAAACACAAAAAAAAAUUGAAUAUUUAAAGGAACAAUGUGCCAUUCAUGGAAAAUCAUUUUCUUUAAUGGACGAUGAAGCUUUUAAAAAUAUUAUUAGUUUAAUCUCGAUUGAUCUAAUAAAACUAGCAUCGGUACAUAGUCGUUCGAUUCGAGAAUUGCUGAUAAAAAAAGCAAUUGAAAUAAGGCAAGGAAUAUCUUGUAAACUGCAGGACAAACUGAUAUCAAUUAAAAUGAAUGGUGGUGGCUCACGCCAAGAUCGUUUGUUUAUGGGUGUUAAUGUGCAAUAUAUUGAAAAUGGGAAAAUCAAUAUUAACCAUUUAGGACUCAUAGAACUCCACGUGCGAAGUACUUCUGAAAAUUUGAAAAAAAUGUUACUAUACGUAUUGAGGAAGUAUAAUAUAUCAGUAAAUCAAAUAAUAACAAUUACGACUGAUAAAGGAGCAAAUUAUUUAAAAGUUUCGCAAUUGAUAAAUGAAACUAUCGAAGAAGCAUGUCGUGACGAAGAAGAAGACAGUAGUGAGAAUGAAGAAGAGGAAAUCGUACCACAAGAUUUCGAAGAUGUAACUUUGGAAGAUGAUAUGAUUAACAUGCUCAGCGGAGAUGAGGCUCGUGACAAGACGUAUUCAGUAACAUCUGUUCGUUGUGCUGCUCACACAUUGCAACUAGCAGUAGGCGACGCAUUGCGUGAAGAUGAGGCUAAUAACACUAUUGAAUUGGCCAGGUCAGUUGUGCGCAAUUUAAGGACUCCCUCGGUUCGACAAAUCCCGAGGGCAACAAACAAGAAGAAAGCUAUCUUAGAUUGUACAACCCGAUGGCAUUCAACGUUAGAUAUGUUGCAACGCCUGAAAGAAUUGAGAUAAUGUUGUUCAACAGACCCUAGAGAACCGUCCUUCAUAUCAAAUAACACUUGGUAUGCCAUUGAUGACAUAAUAAGUUCGUUACUACCGGCCAAAAUUUUAACAAAAAUAUUACAAUCGGAACAGGUUACAAUAGGUGAUUUUUCCCAAAGUUUUAGUGUAAUUAACUUUUUGUUACUAUGUACCAUGAAUAUUUGCGUGAGAAAUAAUAAAUAUAUGUUCGGCAACACAAUUUCUAAUAAGGCUUCAGUUGCAUUGUUCGGGAUGAUUUAUUUAUACCUCAUUAUUAUGUUAACGAAUGCAUGCCGAUGUGAUAGUGUCGGAUUGGACAAAAUUACCAUAGAACAGAAAUAUCUACUUCCUCCA